CGCGGCUUGGGGAGGGUCCGCCCAGUGUCCUGCCGUUCGGCAAGCUUUGCCUUUGGGUCACGGGAGCAAGUCCUCGCCGAGAGCUCCCCGACGAACAGGCUAUGGAGGUGCCAGCUCACAGAAACGCACGCGCCAUUAGAAGAAGUUUCAGGAUGGGUUUGCUAAUCCCCGUGCUAUUUGUAACCUGCCCCGUGACACGUGACUCGGAUUCAGCGGUGCCAGUUUCCACCCCAGAGGUCAGGGCGCUGGGGAAGAAAAAUACAAUGACAUUGGUGGGAAGAAGGAAAGAGCCCUGCCAGAGAGGAAACAGCAAAUGCAAAGGCCCUGGGGUAGGAACAGGUGUAUUCAACGAAGAACAAGAGGCCAGGUGCAUGGGGCAGCGUGUAACACAGGGACGAGACAGACCUGAGUUCAGAACCUGGCUUUGUCACCAGCUGUGUGACCUCGGCCAGGGAAACGACUUCUCUGUGCCUCGUUGUGCUCAUCUGGAGCAUGGGGCUCCGCAGACCCACCUCGAAGGACGUCUUGAGGGUACAUUCCUGGCGCGUGGCGGGCCCUGAUUAGUGUGUUUCUCUUCGGCCCCUGGCUGCUCACCUCAUCUUCCAUCUGUGGCUCCUCCCCUUCAGGAAGGUGGACCUGAGGAGUCCACGGAGAAAGUCAAGAAGAGGGAGCUCGGGAUUCUCGGUGAGAACAGAACGAGGCGUGUUGACUUCUAGUGCUCAGCUGGCCAUGCUUGGAGCCACUGCCAGCACACCUGGCUUCUCCCUGCAGCGUGUUCCCCAGAUGUUCCUAGGCAUCCUCAAAGGGAUGACCCAGCCGACACCCGGCCUUCUCCUCUGCAAGUCCUUCCCCUCCGUCCACCUCAGCUGGCCCCUCCCCCAGUUCAAUCUGGACCAGCCGUGACCUGAAACGGCUCCUCCUGCAAGAGCAGGAAUUGGAGCAUCUUCUUCUAUCUCGUUCAUCUAACCGUUCCUGCCUCGACGAUCCUUGACUCCCAACUGGACCCUUCGCUUGCACCAGUCGACUUUCAUCCCCUUUCUUCACUUCCUUCUUGUGUAGUUUAGAUUCUAAGCCAGGGGAAUUGGGGAAAGUGCCCGGGGAGCCCCCGCAGCCUCCCAGGCAGUCAGUGCCACCACUAUCUGCACAGUGUCUGGACGCUGGUGGACUGUGUCCAUACGUGCCCGUGGCCUCUGGGGGCUGGGGAAGAGGGGGGGUGCUCCUGAUCCGCUUCUGCUGGCUCAGCUAGGAGGCUUGACCAGGUAGAAAACAUAGCGACUUCAGCGAAGAACAUUCUCUGCUGAUAGGUUGGGUGUGUGUCUAUCAGACGCUGCUAUCUCACUAGUUGGGAGAUGGGACAAUAUAAUCGGCUCAUAUUUCUGAUAUUCCUGGCUAGCCAACUGUGCUGUUUAUGACUGCAGCCAGGAGGACUGAAAGAUAGAAAAAAGCAUCUUGAAAAUAAUUGUACAACUUCACAGUUUAUUGGUAAACUUGACUUCCCAUCACCAACUCCAGAGUUGCAAUGAGUUUUAUUUCCACCCAAUCUUUAUUACUCAAAAGAAAAGUCUACCCUCAAAUCUCUAUAGUGUUUGUAAUUAGACCCAUUUCUCUCAACAUCCAAGAAUUGAAAGAUACCAAAGAAAGGUACCCAUUUACAACACAAAUCAUAAUGGAUUAAAUAAAGAUACAGCCACAUUCAAAGAGAGUAUAUGUGUAUAUGAGGUGGGUUUCCCAUCAGGUAAAUUCUUAGAGAUGCAGUAGCUGGCUAUUAAGUGAUAUGUUUAACUCUGAACUAUUCCAAGGGAGGCUGAUGAAUAUUACAUCCAAGUCCUCUGAGUAGGACAUCACUAUUUGUAAUCGCAGUGGAGACAGCAGUGCAGGGGCUAAAACCCAUAGAAUGAACAGGGUGGCCAGGUCAGUGAACCGUGACCAGAGGAGAGACCCUAGUGCAGGGGUGGGCAACCCCUGGCACGCCAGUAACUUUCGCUGGCAAGCGAAACCCUCUCUUAUAAUCUUCCAUUUACAAUUUUUUCU